GCCAUCGGUGGUUCAGUGGUAGAAUGCUCUCCUGCCACGCGGGCGGCCCAGGUUCGAUUCCCGGCCGAUGCA
rnacentral:tRNA from 1 species